rnacentral:rRNA from 1 species
UACGUAGGCAGCGGGCGUUGUUCGGAGUUACUGGGCGUAAAGGGUGUGUAGGCGGUUGUUUAAGUUUGGUGUGAAAUCUCCCGGCUCAACUGGGAGGGUGCGCCGAAUACUGAGCGACUAGAGUGCGGGAGAGGAAAGUGGAAUUCCUGGUGUAGCGGUGAAAUGCGUAGAUAUCAGGAGGAACACCGGUGGUGUAGACGGCUUUCUGGACCGUAACUGACGCUGAGACACGAAAGCGUGGGUAGCAAACAGG